rnacentral:rRNA from 1 species
AUUGAACGCUGGCGGCAUGCUUUACACAUGCAAGUUGAACGGCAGCGCGGGCUUCGGCCUGGCGGCGAGUGGCGAACGGGUGAGUAAUGCAUCGGAACGUGCCCAGUAGUGGGGGAUAGCCCGGCGAAAGCCGGAUUAAUACCGCAUACGACCUGAGGGUGAAAGCGGGGGACCGAAAGGCCUCGCGCUAUUGGAGCGGCCGAUGUCGGAUUAGCUAGUUGGUGGGGUAAAGGCUUACCAAGGCGACGAUCCGUAGCUGGUCUGAGAGGACGACCAGCCACACUGGGACUGAGACACGGCCCAGACUCCUACGGGAGGCAGCAGUGGGGAAUUUUGGACAAUGGAGGCAACCCUGAUCCAACCAUGCCGCGUGCGGGAAGAAGGCCUUCGGGUUGUAAACCGCUUUUGUUCGGGAAGAAAUCCUCUGGGCUAAUACCCCGGGGGGAUGACGGUACCGGAAGAAUAAGCACCGGCUAACUACGUG